AUUGAACGCUGGCGGCAUGCCUUACACAUGCAAGUCGAACGGCAGCACGGGAGCAAUCCUGGUGGCGAGUGGCGAACGGGUGAGUAAUAUAUCGGAACGUGCCCAGUCGUGGGGGAUACCGUAGCGAAAGCUACGCUAAUACCGCAUACGAUCUAUGGAUGAAAGCGGGGGAUCGCAAGACCUCGCGCGAUUGGAGCGGCCGAUAUCAGAUUAGGUAGUUGGUGAGGUAAAGGCUCACCAAGCCGACGAUCUGUAGCUGGUCUGAGAGGACGACCAGCCACACGGGAACUGAGACACGGUCCAGACUCCUACGGGAGGCAGCAGUGGGGAAUUUUGGACAAUGGGCGCAAGCCUGAUCCAGCAAUGCCGCGUGCAGGAUGAAGGCCUUCGGGUUGUAAACUGCUUUUGUACGGAACGAAACGGUGAGCUCUAAUACAGUUUGCUAAUGACGGUACCGUAAGAAUAAGCACCGGCUAACUACGUGCCAGCAGCCGCGGUAA
rnacentral:rRNA from 1 species